CAACUCCUUAAAUCCAUCCGAAAAUAGCACAAUAGAAGUACCAACUCUAGAUUUUUCUUAAUCUUUUGAAGAAUCAAAGCAUGGGGUUUAUUUUCUUGAUGGAUUAGAGGCUUGUAAUUGGAUUGGAGGAAGGCGUCUCUACACCUCUUGGGAAUUAAUUUGUAGAGUCUCAAUCUACGAUUUUGCUAUUUUUGGAGAUUCAUAGACUUUUGUGUGGCUCGCCUCAACUUGGGAGACUA